UAGCUCAGUUGGUAGAGCACCUGACUUUUAAUCAGGGUGUCGAAGGUUCAAGUCCU
rnacentral:tRNA from 1 species